rnacentral:rRNA from 1 species
UACGGGGGGGGCAAGCGUUGUUCGGAAUUACUGGGCGUAAAGGGCUCGUAGGCGGCCAACUAAGUCGGAUGUGAAAUCCCCAGGCUCAACUUGGGAACUGCAUCCGAUACUGGAUGGCUUGAAUUCGGGAGAGGGAUGCAGAAUUCCAGGUGUAGCGGUGAAAUGCGUAGAUAUCUGGAGGAAUACCGGUGGCGAAGGCGGCAUCCUGGACCGACAUUGACGCUGAGGAGCGAAAGCUGAGGGGAGCAAACGGG